rnacentral:rRNA from 1 species
AUGAAGGGCAUUCACCGCAUCUCCACCGACGCAAUUGUAUCUCUAUCUUUCUCAAUUCUCCGCCACUUCUAUCAGCACCGAUUUGUGGAGAGCGACAGCAGGAUGGGCAGGGUGAGGAGGCAGCAGGAUGGCCAGAGUUCGGUGGCAGCAUAUGUUGGUCGUGCCGUCGAGCCAAGCACGCCGGAAGUCGGUGACGAUGGCGCGGUGGUGCUCAGCGGCGUUGACGACGAGGUAACACACGAGAAGCUCCUCGAGGUGCCGCUACGACGCUUGGACGUUGUCCUUCGCUGCACUAUCUCUGCCAUGCUCUCCAGGAAGUCCCCCUCUGGGUCCGCCGACUCCAUCACCAUCACGAGGCUCUCCUGCAGCCAGCGCCGCCUCUGUAGCAUGGUGGUCGCCAUUGGAGGCUGCUCCUACGCUGGCCUUCUUCCCUUCAACCAGCCGCUUGGCUUGACAUGUACCGGCCGUCGCCGUCACGUCCUGUCCGUCGGCGAUGCCCUGCAGCUGCUCUUGGCCUCCUCCUCCCAGUCAACCUUCUUUGCCGCACCAGUCGGGCCUGGUGAGGAUCGGUCGCAGCUUCAGCCCGUGGAGCCGGCCAGCAGCGGCCCUAGGCUUUGA